rnacentral:tRNA from 1 species
GAGCCGGUAGCUCAGCCUGGUAGAGCACCUGACUUUUAAUCAGGUGGUCGCGAGUUCGAAUCUCGUCCGGCUCGCCA